GGGGAAUUUUGGACAAUGGGGGCAACCCUGAUCCAGCCAUUCCGCGUGAGUGAAGAAGGCCUUCGGGUUGUAAAGCUCUUUCGGCAGGAACGAAACGGCGAGCUCUAACAUAGCUCGCUAAUGACGGUACCUGAAGAAGAAGCACCGGCUAACUACGUGCCAGCAGCCGCGGUAAUACGUAGGGUGCGAGCGUUAAUCGGAAUUACUGGGCGUAAAGCGUGCGCAGGCGGUUGUGUAAGACAGGUGUGAAAUCCCCGGGCUUAACCUGGGAACUGCGCUUGUGACUGCACGGCUAGAGUAUGGCAGAGGGGGGUGGAAUUCCACGUGUAGCAGUGAAAUGCGUAGAGAUGUGGAGGAACACCGAUGGCGAAGGCAGCCCCCUGGGCCAAUACUGACGCUCAUGCACGAAAGCGUGGGGAGCAAAC
rnacentral:rRNA from 1 species